GUCAUAUUUAGUUAUCUGGGUAGUUAUUUGAUUACUGUCUGUUUUCUCUAUAAGACUUCAGGAUCCAUGAGGGCAAGAGCCUCGUCUGUCUUGUUUUCCACCUUAUUCCUCACUCUGAGAAAGUGAUGAAGGGUCAAUAUUGAUUCCAUGAAAGAGUGAGGUAUCGCUCUGCUUGUCCUCUGUGGGACAGGCACCACCACCUGGGUAUGACUGGACCUGAUCAGAAACACUGGAGCCCUGUUCUCCUGACAAGAAGACCAAGUGCCAAGCAUUAUCACCACAUCUGACAUGAAAAUAUUGUGGGGGGAAAUGAAAAGUGGAAGUUUAUAAAAUAGAAGCAUCUUUCGACGGUCUGCAUCCGAAUCAUUGAAACUUCAACACAGAUUUUUUUUAAUAGAAAUUUUGCCCACAUAUACACUAAUAAAAAUAAAUCUGUUUCCGAUUA
rnacentral:lncRNA from 1 species